rnacentral:rRNA from 1 species
CCUACGGGGUGCUGCAGUGGGGAAUAUUGGACAAUGGGCGAAAGCCUGAUCCAGCCAUGCCGCGUGUGUGAAGAAGGCCUUCGGGUUGUAAAGCACUUUCAGUGGGGAAGAAAGCCUUGGGGCUAAUACCCUCGAGGAAGGACAUCACCCACAGAAGAAGCACCGGCUAACUCCGUGCCAGCAGCCGCGGUAAUACGGAGGGUGCGAGCGUUAAUCGGAAUUACUGGGCGUAAAGCGCGCGUAGGCGGUCUGAUAAGCCGGUUGUGAAAGCCCCGGGCUCAACCUGGGAACGGCAUCCGGAACUGUCAGGCUAGAGUGCAGGAGAGGAAGGUAGAAUUCCCGGUGUAGCGGUGAAAUGCGUAGAGAUCGGGAGGAAUACCAGUGGCGAAGGCGGCCUUCUGGACUGACACUGACGCUGAGGUGCGAAAGCGUGGGUAGCAAACAGGAUUAGAUACCCGGGUAGUC